AUGACCAGUGCUUCUUGAAUUAUCUUUGAAGGUUUGGAAUCUUCAACCCAGCAGUCGUGUAUGAUCACCUGGGAGAAAUUUAUUCAGCACUUAUUCUGGGAAGCUUAGUGUUCUGCAUUUUGUUAUACUUGAAAGGUCAUUUGGCACCAUCUUCUUCGGAUUCUGGUUCAUUAGGGAACUUCAUAAUUGAUUUUUAUUGGGGCAUGGAACUGUAUCCUCGUAUCGGCAAAAACUUUGACAUCAAGGUUUUU